rnacentral:rRNA from 1 species
AUGAACGCUAGCGGCAGGCUUAACACAUGCAAGUCGAGGGGCAGCGGGGAGUAGCAAUACUCCGCCGGCGACCGGCGCACGGGUGCGUAACGCGUAUGCAACCUACCUUUAACAGGGGCAUAACACUGAGAAAUUGGUACUAAUUCCCCAUAACAUUCGAGAAGGCAUCUUCUUGGGUUAAAAACUCCGGUGGUUAAAGAUGGGCAUGCGUUGUAUUAGCUAGUUGGUGAGGUAACGGCUCACCAAGGCAACGAUACAUAGGGGGACUGAGAGGUUAACCCCCCACAUUGGUACUGAGACACGGACCAAACUCCUACGGGAGGCAGCAGUGAGGAAUAUUGGUCAAUGGACGCAAGUCUGAACCAGCCAUGCCGCGUGCAGGAAGACGGCUCUAUGAGUUGUAAACUGCUUUUGUACUAGGGUAAACGCUUCUACGUGUAGGAGCCUGAAAGUAUAGUACGAAUAAGGAUCGGCUAACUCCGUGCCAGCAGCCGCGGUAAUACGGAGGAUCCAAGCGUUAUCCGGAUUUAUUGGGUUUAAAGGGUGCGUAGGCGGUUUGAUAAGUUAGAGGUGAAAUACCGGGGCUCAACUCCGGAACUGCCUCUAAUACUGUUGAACUAGAGAGUAGUUGCGGUAGGCGGAAUGUAUGGUGUAGCGGUGAAAUGCUUAGAGAUCAUACAGAACACCGAUUGCGAAGGCAGCUUACCAAACUAUAUCUGACGUUGAGGCACGAAAGCGUGGGGAGCAAACAGGAUUAGAUACCCUGGUAGUCCACGCAGUAAACGAUGAUAACUCGUUGUCGGCGAUACACAGUCGGUGACUAAGCGAAAGCGAUAAGUUAUCCACCUGGGGAGUACGUUCGCAAGAAUGAAACUCAAAGGAAUUGACGGGGGCCCGCACAAGCGGUGGAGCAUGUGGUUUAAUUCGAAGCAACGCGAAGAACCUUACCAGGUCUUGACAUCGAUCUAAAAGGGAUGGAGACAUCCUCAUAGCUAUAGAGAAGACAGGUGGUGCAUGGUUGUCGUCAGCUCGUGCCGUGAGGUGUCGGGUUAAGUCCCAUAACGAGCGCAACCCCUACCGUUAGUUGCCAUCAGGUCAAGCUGGGCACUCUGGCGGGACUGCCGGUGUAAGCCGAGAGGAAGGUGGGGAUGACGUCAAAUCAGCACGGCCCUUACGUCCGGGGCUACACACGUGUUACAAUGGUAGGUACAGAGGGCCGCUACCCCGCGAGGGGAUGCCAAUCUCGAAAGCCUAUCUCAGUUCGGAUCGGAGGCUGAAACCCGCCUCCGUGAAGUUGGAUUCGCUAGUAAUCGCGCAUCAGCCAUGGCGCGGUGAAUACGUUCCCGGGCCUUGUACACACCGCCCGUCAAGCCAUGGAAGCUGGGGGUGCCUGAAGUUCGUGACCGCAAGGAGCGACCUAGGGCAAAACCGGUGACUGGGGCU